rnacentral:lncRNA from 1 species
UUUGGGACUCUAAUCAUUGUGCUUCGCAAUAUUGCCACCCAAAACAUUUGAUUCGCAAAAAAGGUACUACAAACAUAUUCUAAUUGAUUAAGUUGCCAUUUAGCCUAUUCUUUUCCUUUUCUAAUCAAAUCCCAUGUAUUUUGUUCCUGACAAGACACUUUUACCCCUAUGUAAUUAUACGCCCUAGGUCACACGAAUGGCUCGCCAGCUGCUGCUACUCGCUGAACAGGUCGCGGUGCUGCUCGCCGAACAUCGCCAACAGGUGCUGCUCGCCGAACAUCGCCAAACAGGUGCUGCACUGCUGCUCGCCGAUCAGCUCACCAACAGGGAUGGUCACGGAUAGGAGCAGGACACGAACAUGACAUGAAGAGUAGGACAAACAGUAGCA